rnacentral:rRNA from 1 species
UAAGGGCGCACGGUGGAUGCCUUGGCACUAGAAGCCGAUGAAGGACGUUACUAACGACGAUAUGCUUUGGGGAGCUGUAAGUAAGCUUUGAUCCAGAGAUUUCCGAAUGGGGAAACCCAGCAUGAGUUAUGUCAUGUUAUCGAUAUGUGAAUACAUAGCAUAUCAGAAGGCACACCCGGAGAACUGAAACAUCUUAGUACCCGGAGGAAGAGAAAGAAAAUUCGAUUCCCUUAGUAGCGGCGAGCGAAACGGGAAGAGCCCAAACCAACAAGCUUGCUUGUUGGGGUUGUAGGACACUCUAUACGGAGUUACAAAGGACGACAUUAGACGAAUCAUCUGGAAAGAUGAAUCAAAGAAGGUAAUAAUCCUGUAGUCGAAAAUGUUGUCUCUCUUGAGUGGAUCCUGAGUACGACGGAGCACGUGAAAUUCCGUCGGAAUCUGGGAGGACCAUCUCCUAAGGCUAAAUACUCUCUAGUGACCGAUAGUGAACCAGUACCGUGAGGGAAAGGUGAAAAGCACCCCGGAAGGGGAGUGAAAUAGAACCUGAAACCGUGUGCUUACAA